GUGGGGAAUAUUGGACAAUGGGCGAAAGCCUGAUCCAGCCAUGCCGCGUGCAGGAAGAAGGCCUUCGGGUUGUAAACUGCUUUUGUACGGAACGAAACGGUCCGGGUUAAUACCCUGGGCUAAUGACGGUACCGUAAGAAUAAGCACCGGCUAACUACGUGCCAGCAGCCGCGGUAAUACGUAGGGUGCAAGCGUUAAUCGGAAUUACUGGGCGUAAAGCGCGCGUAGGUGGUUUUGUAAGUUGGAGGUGAAAUCCCCGGGCUCAACCUGGGAACUGCCUCCAAAACUGCAUGACUAGAGUACGGUAGAGGGUAGUGGAAUUUCCUGUGUAGCGGUGAAAUGCGUAGAUAUAGGAAGGAACACCAGUGGCGAAGGCGACUACCUGGACUGAUACUGACACUGAGGUGCGAAAGCGUGGGGAGCAAACAGGAUUAGAAACCCCUGUAGUCC
rnacentral:rRNA from 1 species